rfam:Yersinia pestis CO92 complete genome
CAUGAUAGGCCUGUUGCGGGGAGAUGAGAUGAAUAUGGCUAUCGAUACCGGCGGCAGUAAGAAUCAAAUGCUCACCAGAGAUAGCAUCGGUGCUCACACCGACCACCAUACCCUGCGUAACCCCAUCCAUAACACCGGGGUUACCGCUCUUACCGAUACCGGCGAUUUUGCCAUCGCGGAUACCGACGUCAGCUUUAAUCACCCCUAAGCGAGCAUCGACAAUCGUGACGUUGGUAAUCACCAGGUCAAGCACACCAUUAUCGCGGGUCAGAUUAUUGUUGGCCCCCAUCCCGUCACG